rnacentral:tRNA from 1 species
CGCAGAGUAUAGCAGUUGGUAGCUUUUCGGGCUCAUAACCCGAAGGUCGUAGGUUCGAGUCCUACCUCUGCUCCCA